AGGGCGAAGGGGCGGUGGAGCUGGGGAAGAGCGGGGCUGGCGCGGGGACGCCGGGGAGGCUCCUUCCGCUGGAAGCGCCCGGCGCGGUGGCAGCACCCGGCCCAAGGGCCGCGCGCGGGGCGGCUGCCCGCGACCCGCUGCACCACGCGAGCCGGUGGUAUCUUCCUAAACAAAGCCGGUGGAAUUACACGCUUCUGUGGAGAGCCUCGUGUAACGGAAAAGUCUCAGAUUACUAUCGCUUGAAAAGGAGGGCACUUCUCUUCAUUUAUUUUCAAUACCGGUUCGCUUGAAAAAGCAACGCGCGCACAGAAGCGCUCAUUCAGUAUUUAGCAGCAGAUGAGGAGAGGACUCAGAAAGACGUGCUCUCCGGCACGCUGGGUACAAACGAAACCUUUGCGAAGGGGUUCUGUAAGCAGCCAGUUCCUUUCUCUCGAUUUCACGUCCCUUGCUGACGUGGAGGAUGUUGGCAUCUCCCGUGCACGUGAGCGCAGGUGCCCGCUCUGCCUGGCACCUCAGCGCCCGAUGGUGAGUGCAGCUCCUGGGAUGGCUUUGGGAUGCCAGCCUGCCCUCGGGGCCACGAGCUCCUUCCCUCACUUACUCACAAGUGAAAGGAAAAGGUCAGUUCUGCAUUUGUAUUCUAAACCGGCAUCGUUUGCCCCUUUGUUUUUAAAACUGCUAAAACAUUGGCACGGAUGCUUUCUCUUUUUUCAUUUCUUGCAUUUCGAGAUUCCUUCCCAACUGAAUCAACGUUCUCUUCUCCUCCCACUCCAUCUCCUCCUUAAAUGUUUCAAAAUGUUGCCUUUGUUUUGAUGCUGCAGUUUCACAAGAUUUCAGUCGGACAGUAAUUUCUGAGGGCAGUUUCUGUGGGUGAAGCGCCCACGGGCCGAUUGCAGCCCCGGCUCCAGCGAGGUGCAAGCUGCAAAGGCGACCGGGCGUCACCGACAGACGGGGAACAAGCAGCGAGAGGUUCAGCAACGAGCAGUGCUAAUUCAGGGAGAAGGGAUGAAGGCAACACUGCCCAGCUGAAGCUGGGGUUUCCAAAUAACAAUGAAUCCACAGUCUGGUGAAAGCACCUGGCGCAUCGCUCCCAAGGCCACAGAUACAUUUAAGAUAUUUACAGCCUUUAACUACACUGGUUUAUUUAAAACAAAAAACCUACCCCCCAACCCAGAGUUCAUUAUUAUAUUGAUGGGGAAGGGCUUUCGGCAGCAUCUUCCAGCAAACCCCUCUGCUUCAAUAUAGCUGUGUUAUUGUGAGGCUUUUGGUGCCCCAGUAGGCCUCACGUAGAGCCUAACACAUCUUGGUCUUUCUGAAAGCUGGCCUCCAGCCUUUCCAGUACUACCCCCAGCCCAUUCAGCUGCCCAAAGAAGAAACUGACCGUCUACAGCUGGAAUACCGCUGUACAACGGAGUGAGGUGCUGCAGGCUCGUGCCCCACAAAAAGCACUUGGAAGGCACAAAGGGAUUUGAGGAAGCACCUGUACUCGCUGCUGCGGCAGGCAGGAUGCUGCUCCGGGGACAACAAUGCUGGCGCGGUGAGCCCCGCGUUCCUACUAAACCUUCCCCUGCUAAUCCCUGCGCAGCCAGCUGUCACCCAGCACACGGAGAGCUGUGCCGAGAGCUGCCAGCCACCUGACUUCCAGGAUGGGGGAAGGGGAGAUGGAACCGGUCAUAUACAACUGCAGACUGCUCCAGCGCUCCAAGGGCACAAGGACAGGCUCAUUUCUGUCGCGGAUUUUUUCCUGCAGCUUUCUACCGAUGGCAGCUUUUGCCUGCAAUGCCUCACCUAUGUCAUAAUUAAAGGAAACCCUUCCCCUCGAGAGCAGGCAGGCAGCCAGGUCCUACCUGCAGGCGUAUCGGCUCACUGCUGUCCCACCUUGAGCAAACAGGUGUUGCUAUGUGAGUUUGGGAGGCAGCCCUAAGGUCCAAGAGAGCGACAGGAGAGCUGGAGUAUUUUUUACAUCAGGAAGGCCGUAAAUCAGGAGCCAGGAGCUCUUCCCCAGCUGAAAGCUUUCCCAGCGCCUUUGGCAGGGGACACGAUACAGCACGUGGCCAUUAUCAGAAAUAUUGAAAAGUAAAACAUUACAAAAAUGAAACAUUAAAAACUAAAAAUAACCAUCCCGUUUCGGCCCAUGUAAAACACAGACUGGCAUCCCCCACCCUGCCAUAAAACAGUAACAACACAUGCAUGAAUUUACACCUCGGAUCAUCCCCUGUGGGACAACUCAACGUGGUAAGCUUACGGUUCCCAAGAAAUACUGAACAGAAGUUGGAUUUUGAGCAUUUUUGUCCCUUCCCCCAGUUCUGGCCUGCCCAGCAGCACUCAGUGCUGCACAAAAAAGUGAAGGAACCAAAGCAAGGACAAGCAGUGCAGAGUACACCACAAACACCGGGACAGCUAAAGCGAAAGGGAAGAGCUUGUGUUUGAACUGAGUUUAAUUUCUUCAAGAUCUGAAUCAGAGACACUAGGACGUUAUGGAGAACUCAGCAUCAGUCACUGUGAAAUUCUGACCUCAUUUUAUCUACCACCCAGGUUGCCAUUGGGGCUGAACAACAGGUCCCCACGCAACAGAUGUGACAGACUUUGUUAAUGAUGAUAUCAGCUCCUUGGGAUGGCCCCAAUCACCGGGUGCUGCCGACUCAUCUGCCAGAGCAUUACUUAUGCUCUGCUGGGCCUCCUGUGGACAUUUUGAAGGCUCCACUUAACAGGUACUGGCGGAGCAGGCCCGCUCCUCUUACCAACUCAUCAUUCCCCAGGACACUUGGCAACUGCUGCAGAAGGUCAACUAAACACAAACUAAACAGAGCUUCUCGUCAGUAAUGCUUCCGUGUCAGAACUGUAGUUUAAUUCUUCUGUUUAAAGGGAGUUUUAGGUCAGUGGCAAAUAGAAAUGUCCUCAAAAGUCCCUUCCAGAUAUGUCCUCCGUGACUCACGCAGGCCUGGGAGAGCCAAGGGCAUCACAGUGGAAGGGGAGGGGGCAGACUGAAAAGCAGGAGACCACAGAGACUUCUGUCAUUGAAGGACCUGCACGCACUUCCCUCCCGCCAGGCCCAGCAGGCCUCCAGCAGCUCGGCGCUUGGUCCCAGCACAGACCCGGGCUCAGGAUGAACCUGCACGCGGUGACAAAGGCAGCUUGAAACCUUUGGGAAAACUUCUGACAAGUCAGCCCAUAAUGUCAACUUACUACAGAAACUGGGUCAGUUCCACCUGGUUUCAGGUUUCAGUGCGAACAGUUUUCACAACUCCCAGGUUAACAGGAAAGUUGACGUGACUUUUGCAAGAGCAUGUCCUUGCUAAGUGCUGCAGUGGAACGCUUGCCAGAAAAGCCUGCAGAGAAGAGCUAGUCGAGCAUUUUGUAUUUGGAAAACAUCAUGGUUUCUCUCUGUGUAUUCCAGUCCAAACAGCUUUUCUGAGCUGUAUUGCUUCCCCUAUCAAAGCAGGGAAGAACCCCAAAAAUGACACUUACAGGUUUUCCUUGUGGCCCACAAAACGCACUCGGUUUGCUACCUGAGAUUAAUAACUCCUUUAAAAAGCCUAUUAAAAUCAAGUAUGGCACACAAUUAUACAGUUAACAUACUCAUUUUCUCUGAAAUCUUGGUGUGAAAGCACUUCUUGAUUUUCUUCCAGAAAAUUCUACACGUUUUUAAGUGCUGUUUUAACAGGUGAUGUUUUUAUUGCCUCUCCUCAACACCUCUCCUCCUCUGACUGAAUUGCACCUACACUUAUAUGAAGGGAGCAGAAAGCGCUUCACCUUUAUUUUUCUUCCAUUUGUUCUGUUUUCUUUUUUGUUUCUUUUUUUCCCCAGAGAUCGACCGCAAACACAGAGGAGAUGUGCUGUUGCUGCAUCAUAAUCACUCAGGCAUGCAAAUUCAAUCUUCUGUUACUACUGAGCCAAAUGAAAAUAGGGUGAAAACAAUAAGCAGAACACACUGAUCUUUAUAAACCUCCAUAAGACAGAUUAUUUAUUUCUACCAUUUCCCCUGCUUCCCCUAUAUAGUACAGAAAGCAGGGAGGCUAUAUUCAUGUUUGUAAAUGUAUCCUAAUGGUGACCAGCCACUUCAUAGGUGAUAAGUUCAGGGGAAAGAAAUAAGAAGGCACCUUUCUGUUCUAUCUGCUCUGUAACCGGAGAAACCUGAGCCUCUAAACCAGAAACCUCUGAACUUAACUGGGCUCCAUAAAGAACCUGAGCUCCUCUUAUACCUAAGCAACAAAGUUCCAGAACAGCCUAGGUACAGGCUUGAGUUGUUCCUAUAGUUCAUUCAAAAUUAACGGGAAAGGAAACAGAAAAAUGUUAGAAAAGUGCAGCAAGUUGUUUUCUUGUUGUUUUUUUUGUUUUGUUUUUAAUCCUAGAUGCAGACCUACGAGCUGAAAGCUUCGUUUUUAGAGUCAACAAAAAUGAAACACUUCUUUCAGGGGAAAAUCUCACCCACAAAACUUCAUCAGCUGGGGACUGCCUGUCACUGCAAAAAAGUUUCCUGAUCAAUUGACUAAAUACUAAUUGUCUGAAAGAAAGCUCUUACUCCACAGCAAGCCACGUUUCAUUCUUACGAAUGUACAAGAGCUGUCUGUGUAUGACAAACAUCCAGCCUAAAGGCUUAAUAACAAUUAAAGAAUGUAAAACAAUACUGAAAAAUCCACAUUGUGCAACAUAUAGAUACAAAGUGAUCGGGGAAAAAAAGUGUUGGCAUUGCUCACUAGGAGAGAUCAAAGCUAUUAGGAAGAAUGCUACAAAAUAAAAAAAGUGACACUCAGAAGCAAAUCUUCAUCAUCCUCUGUACUUGUCUGGUCUCUGCUCCUGUUCCUAUUCAUUUUGCCUCUUCCCAUUCAAGGCAAUCUGGGUUUAUAUCUCUCCAGGAUAUUACCUCAAGAUAAGAAUCAAAGCUCCGAUCUGAGGGGAUGAUUUCAUCACUAAUCUUUCUCCAUCAGAAGAACUCCAAGGUUAACAGAAAUUAGUAAACAUCUUUUAAUCCUGUUCUGCAUUUUGCUUUGCAGUAUGCUCUGCUAGACAUUAUUUAUACUUCAGGGAGUACUUUUAUGCAGUAUCCAAGCAACAAAUAGAAGGAAAAACGCAAGGCAUACUGCAGAUUUGGCUGAAUAAAUAAAAUAAAUACAGAGACAUUAGAGGCUGAAGACAAGAACACUCUUUUCUGCAUACACAUCUUCUGUGGAAUGACAUCUUUACAUUACAGAUUCACGACUCGCUUCUGAAGGGCAUCCACAACCAAGCUCAUCCCCGAUAAAAUCACAAAUUAAAAAAAAUGACAUUGCCAUUAUUAGCACACAAUUUCUUUACAUGAGAAAUCCUUUCCAACAGGAUGAUGCAGCAAAAUAGACAGAACAAUUAUUUCAAUGAAGGGUCAUUAACAGUUAUCCCGUGGUUUCACCGUAUUAAAUAUCUCUAAAACAUUGAUUCCAACAGCAAAGGUUAAGACUAAAAAGACUAUAAUGAUCAGGUUGCCCAUGGUGGCCAUGAUGGGUUAGAUUCCCAGCUGGUGGAAGUCAGUGUGGUCUCACAGAAGCCAGCAGGAAAAUGCCAAUCUCUACCAACUGACAGUCUGGUUGAUUGGUCUCCUAAACCACCAACCUCUACCUGAGCUCAGCUCUUGCUCCUGGCUCAGCUCUCACUAUGGGGAAGGCAUCUCACAUGAGGAUCCUUCCUCUCUUCAAGCAGCUGGAGAAGCCAGUGUUUGACUCCACACAGCCUACCCUGCCUUUCCUUGCUCACUGGACGUUGAUGCAGAACACUGCAUCUCACUCAUCCCAUCGCUGCAAGCAGCCAAAAGCAAAUCUCCUGGUGCUUUUACUCUUUCCCAAUGCCACGGUGAUGAACGGAUGAUGAAAACUAAAAUAGACAGGAGAGAGCUGUGCCGUGCCAGUAUGGGAGUUAAGCAACACACCCAUGAUCAGUGCAUGUAAGGAAGCCAUGAAGAUUAGCAUAGAGACCACGAGUUCAAUACCAAGGUAUGACAGAGCAGAUUUACCUGUGCUUUCAGGAUUACUCUCACAGGUAUUUCAUUGGUAAGAUCCUAAAAGUAGAUACACAGGCACACACACACAGUGUAUAUACAUUAGUUUUCUUCUUACUCUAAAUACAGAUGGCUUUUUAUUAUUUAAUCAUUUCUCAACUACAGUACUUUUUCAGAUGUCCUACAUUUAUAAGAAUGUCCUUCUACCUUACUUUGCCAAAUUACUGCAUUGCUGACCUUAGCAUAGAAUCAGCCUGUGAACUGAGGUCUGGCAUACAUCUGGAGACCUCCACAAGAAACUGUACUACCUGUGCUCUAGUCCAAGGACUUACUGGGAUUCAGUCAGUACAGCCUCAUUCACUGGCAAGAUGCUAGGCUCUCCCAAGUGCAUCUCGGACUGGAUAUUGCCUAGUCUUGAAAGAAUGUAAUCAGAGAUGUAAAAUGAUUGCAGCUGUCAGACUUUCCACACUGUGCGGCUGCCAGCAAGUGCUCCUUUUCCACCCCCAUCCCAAAGCAGCUCAACGCCCAUUUUCCAGCUCCACUCGUUCUGCCUGAGCAAUGUCUGCUGGAUCAGUUAUUCACAAGGAUGCAAUCACUUUCAUGCAUCUCGUUGUUACCAUGCAAUCAUAAAUGCUAUUCAUCAAGUAGACAAGCAAGUAUGAUUCCAGAUAAUUCACAAAUUACAAUCAGCACGACUUUCUUCCGAAGCCUAGCUCCAUGCUCAGGCAGCUACACUGGCCCAGGGAUCUUGUACCUGGUUAGUUUGCAAAGAUCUGGCUUGUGUCCCCACAUUGUUUGCACACUACUCACUGAUUCAAAGAGAGAAGAAAACUUCAAACUAUGCAGAACUGAUACCAAAAUCAUAUUACUAUAGCAGCGAGAUACAAAUGAUCUUUGUACUUAAUUACAUUUUUGAGGGGAUAUCAUUGAUUUGUUCACUUGAAAGUAAUUUCAUGUUGCAUGGACACAAUGAUGCCUUUGCAGGCUGAAAUCGCUCUACUCAUUAUCUUUAAAAUUAAACUGCUAAGAACAAACUA